rnacentral:rRNA from 1 species
UACGUAGGGUGCGAGCGUUAAUCGGAAUUACUGGGCGUAAAGCGUGCGCAGGCGGUUUUGUAAGCCAGGUGUGAAAUCCCCGGGCUCAACCUGGGAAUGGCAUUUGGGACUGGCAAGGCUGGAGUGCGGCAGAGGAGACUGGAAUUCCUGGUGUGAGCAGUGAAAUGCGUAGAUAAUCGCGGAGGAAUACGAUGCGGAAAUGCCAGGUCUCGUGGGACAUGGCACUGGA